rnacentral:lncRNA from 1 species
GCUGGGAGGACAUUGUUUCCAAUUCAAAGGGAAGGUGUCUUUAGCGCUCUGUGAUGACAGCCCAGCCUCAGGAGAGGGCAGGGGAGCAGGCUGGUGUUAUUACUCCUUCCUUAAUGGGCCAAGGCUGACUCUGGGGCGUUUGUGACCUAGAGUGGGCAGUCGUCUCCCUCCCUCACCCUCCCCGCUUCCCCACUCAGCACUCCCAGCUGCAUGUCCCGGUGGCCGGGUCACGCUGAGCUUACAGGGAAACCAGUCAUUGGAUUCAGGGGCCAACCUACUCCAGGGUGACCUCAUCUUAACUGGAUUUCAUCUGCGAAGAACUCCAUUUCCAAACAAGGGGGACAUGAAAGGAGGCAGAGGACCGGGGUGGAAGUCGUCAGUGGCAUCUGAGCCCCUGGUUCUUGGCAGCAGGAUGGGGAGAGUGACACCUUCCUGCUGCCUGACUGCUGAGUAUGGAAAGGCCUGAUGCUCCUGAGGGCCCAGCACAGGACCUACGCCGGGAUGCUUCGAAAGGCCCUGGGGCUAUGAUGGCUACCGAGCGCAUUUGGCCAAAGUGUUGCUAUUCACAUGCCAGGCCUCUGGGAGGCUAGUGGGACCAGGACCACCUUCCUCCAAUGCUUCCCCACUCAAUUCAGGUUUCCCAUGAAACAGAACAUUGUAUUCAAAGACCUGAGAAUAAAUUAUUACCACCACUAAUUAUUAUAUUUAAAAGAGCAAUUUAUAAUUUAGGAGAGGGUUUAAAGAAGUUAAAAUCUCGAGUGUAUUUUUAGCUGGAACACUUUCGGUUGCUAAUGACAGGAACCCAGUUCUGUCUAGUGCAAGCAGAAAAGGGAGUUUAUUGGCUAGUGACACCAGGAUGUCCAU